rnacentral:rRNA from 1 species
CACGUAGGGGGCAAGCGUUGUCCGGAUUUCUUGGGCGUAAAGAGCUCGUAGGUGGUUCAGUCAGUCAGGUGUGAAACCUCCAGGCUCAACCUGGAGACGCCACUUGAUACUGCUGUGACUGGAGUCCGGUAGGGGAGCGUGGAAUUCCUGGUGUAGCGGUGAAAUGCGCAGAUAUCAGGAGGAACACCAGCGGCGAAGGCGGCGCUCUGGGCCGGUACUGACACUGAGGAGCGAAAGCGUGGGUAGCAAACAGG